GGAAACAGAAACUGCUACCUCCUCCCUCUUCUCCGCGUCCAGGGCGCCUCUUCCCUGCGGUGUCUGUGCCCAGCCAGGAGGAAGAUAUUGCCUUGGAUAGUGAAUGUGGUAUUAUAAUUGGAAGAUACACCAUUUUCUGGAUUUCUUAAGAUCUAACUCCAGUGGCAGAAGAACAAAAAGCAUAUAAACAAAUGGGACUACAUCAAAAUAAACAGCUUCUGCCUGGUAAAAGGAAGCCAACAACAAAAUGAGUUUUUCUUGAGUAGAAUUUCUCAGAUUUGCAAAAUUUCUAAACUACUUGAUGGUCAUCUAAGGCAUGUAAGACAGGUCAGUGUUCUCUCAAAUUUUGUGUUAUUUUAUAUAAUAAAAUAUGCUCCUGUCACUAAU